AUGCCAGUUCACCGUCCAUGGUGUUCGAGCGCCGGAACAACUUCUGUGUUUGUCUCCCUCCCCUCCGGUCGUGUCUCCAGCGAUCACCGUCCACUCGCGAUUCCAUUUUUGCGCCGAUAUCGCCAGCAGCCUCAUGCAGCUCGGCGACCCCGACGUGCUGCGCCGCCUCGCGGGCAGCUCGGGCAGUCGCCGGAGGGGAUGCAGAGCAUGGGAACCACCUUCUACACGAGCGGGCUCGGCGUCGGAAACUUCCUCAAGAGCCUGCUUGUGACGUUUGUCGACCGGGCUACCAGGGCGAGCGCCGGCAAGAGCUGGAUCGGUGACAACCUGAACGACUCGCACCUCGACUACUACUACGUGUUGCUGCUGCUACUCUCCGUGGUGAACAUGGCGCUCUUUAUGUGUAACUAA
rnacentral:rRNA from 1 species